rnacentral:lncRNA from 1 species
AUCCUCGUGUAGGACGCCCAACAUCUGGACGCACACAGCAUGACUACUAGUGCUGAGCAGCCACCCACAGAGGGCAUAUGCACAAAGACAUUAAAUGUAAAAGAAAUGGCCUGUGCUGAGCAACAGAGAAAGCUGUAUCAGAGAUAAAACCAAACAGAUGAAUUACCUCACAGGAUUGCUGGUCAAAGACACUCGGAGAGACUCCAGGCAUGUGACAAGUCUCUCAUCUGCAGACCCCAUUUUCAGCUCAUGAAUGAAUUCCUGAGAUUCACCAUCCAACGGCAGGAAAUGAAUUGUGUAAGUUCAAAAGAAGAUCAGGUGAAGUGGUACGAAAUUCGGUGUUUUUCAUGUUUUUUGUUUUUAUUAAUUUACUAUAAUGUUAUUCAAAACAACAUUCCCAAUAAAGCAAAACAAAUUAGCACUGUAAAAAAAAAAAAAAA